CAAUAACCUGUGUUGUUAUUACAUAGUAAGAACAUAAACCAAAUAGCCAAUCACAUUUGGGUGCGGUGUGUGAAUGUGAAAGCAAAACAGCGUGGGACUUACCGUUGUGCUGUGUGUCUUACAGAGCAGUUGGACGGGUUGAGGAAGUUGUCCCAUUAUGAUUAAGUCUCACCGGCACCUGGGCUGGGACACAGGACUGCAGCUGAACCCUGAUAAAUGGAAAAUGGAACAAACUUUGCUGUCAUCUUUUAUCAACAUUACAAAUAUUUUCAUUUCUUUGCAAUCACUUUUGGCCUUGGAUGUGGAAUUGCUCUUUACAGACCCUAUCAUAAUAUUUACUGGGGAUUUACAUUUGCACUUUUUGUGGCCAUUCUGCAUUCUAACGCAUACCAUG
ensembl:lncRNA